GAAUAGUUUGGCUCUGGCUAUAAAAUAUAAUUCGAAUAAAAAAAUACACAUGGUUUUUUUUGAAAGUAGUGAGUUAUUAUAUAUAAAUUUAUAACUGACAGUUAUUUAUUUUUAUUUUGGUAUUAGAAUUAGACAUGAUGCUUAAGAUAUUCUCACUAACACCAGUGAUUGAUAUUAAUAAUGAGCGUGAGCUUGAAUUAGUUUAGUUUGUUUGAAGUUUAGUAAAAAUUGGUGCCAGCAACUGCGGUUAAACCAAUGAACUUUUUAUAUUGAUAGGUUGAAAAGGCGGUUAGAAUAAUAGUUUUGUUUAGGGAUUUAAUUUAUAGAGGUGAAAUUUAAGUAAAUUGAAAUAUUUUAUUCUAAACAUUUUUUUGAUUCUGCGAUAACUAUAAGGGAAACUGGGAUUAGAUACCCCAUUAUUUAUAGAAAUAAAUAAAUUUUAGUUAAUUACCAGAGUACUACGAAUAUUAUAAAUUUAAAACUCAAAGAGCUUGGCGGUGUUUUAGACCUUUUAGGGGAACCUGUCUUAUAAUCGAUAGUCCACGUUAGACCUAACUUUUUUUUGUAAUAUUAUUUUAACAGUUUGUAUACCGUCGUCGUCAGGUAACUUUUAAGAAUUUUUAAGUUAGCGAUUUAGUUAUAGUAGUAAUUUUAUUAAUUUAGAUGUCAGAUCAAGGUGCAACCUAUAAAGAAGUAAGGAUGGGUUACAAUUAUUUAUUUGUAGUGGAUAAAAAUUUUAAAUGUUUUUUGAAAAAGGACUUAAAAGUAAAAUUUAAUAUAUAGAAAGAUAGUUUGAACUAUGGCUCUGAAAUGUGCACAAAUCGCCCGUCGCUCUCGUUGAAAAAUGAGAUAAGUCGUAACAUAGUAGAGGUAAUGGAAAUUGUCUCUGGAUGAAA
rnacentral:rRNA from 1 species